UUUUAGUGCUAGGGGUGCCUUUUGGCUGAGAGAAGUUAAAAAACUUUAACCCUUUGAACCUGAUUCGGUUAAUUCUGACGAAGGAAAGCUUUUUAAAUGAUUA
rnacentral:ncRNA from 2 species